GCUUGGGCUCUUUGCUGACGAGUGGCGGACGGGUGAGUAAUGUCUGGGAAACUGCCUGAUGGAGGGGGAUAACUACUGGAAACGGUAGCUAAUACCGCAUAACGUCGCAAGACCAAAGAGGGGGACCUUCGGGCCUCUUGCCAUCGGAUGUGCCCAGAUGGGAUUAGCUUGUUGGUGGGGUAACGGCUCACCAAGGCGACGAUCCCUAGCUGGUCUGAGAGGAUGACCAGCCACACUGGAACUGAGACACGGUCCAGACUCCUACGGGAGGCAGCAGUGGGGAAUAUUGCACAAUGGGCGCAAGCCUGAUGCAGCCAUGCCGCGUGUAUGAAGAAGGCCUUCGGGUUGUAAAGUACUUUCAGCGGGGAGGAAGGGAGUAAAGUUAAUACCUUUGCUCAUUGACGUUACCCGCAGAAGAAGCACCGGCUAACUCCGUGCCAGCAGCCGCGGUAAUACGGAGGGUGCAAGCGUAAUCGGAAUUACUGGGCGUAAAGCGCACGCAGGCGGUUUGUUAAGUCAGAUGUGAAAUCCCCCGG
rnacentral:rRNA from 1 species